GAUGAACGCUGGCGGCGUGCCUAAUACAUGCAAGUAGAACGCUGAAGGAGGAGCUUGCUCUUUCCGGAUGAGUUGCGAACGGGUGAGUAACGCGUAGGUAACCUGCCUGGUAGCGGGGGAUAACUAUUGGAAACGAUAGCUAAUACCGCAUAACAGUAGAUAUUGCAUGAUAUUUGCUUGAAAGGGGCAAUUGCUCCACUACCAGAUGGACCUGCGUUGUAUUAGCUAGUUGGUGAGGUAACGGCUCACCAAGGCGACGAUACAUAGCCGACCUGAGAGGGUGAUAGGCCACACUGGGACUGAGACACGGCCCAGACUCCUACGGGAGGCAGCAGUAGGGAAUCUUCGGCGAUGGACGGAAGUCUGACCGAGCAACGCCGCGUGAGUGAAGAAGGUUUUCGGAUCGUAAAGCUCUGUUGUAAGAGAAGAACGAGUGUGAGAGUGGAAAGUUCACACUGUGACGGUAUCUUACCAGAAAGGGACGGCUAACUACGUG
rnacentral:rRNA from 1 species